rnacentral:rRNA from 1 species
GAAUGGAAACGAUCCGUCGGCACCUCCCAAAGAUGGGUCGGCUCGGUUCGUUCCAUACCGCGCCUCGAAAGGGGCGACCUCUAUGGGACGCUCACCUCUGCCCUUAGCUGGGUGGAGGUAAAAACCAUCGAGGACAACUUGAUAAGAUAAAAAAAAGAUAAAGGACUUUAAAAAUCUUUUUUCUUUUUUUGCUUAUUAGGUCCCUCGAUGGCGAGCUCCCAUUCGUUUACUUUGAAUAAAUUAGAGUGUUCAAAGCAGGCAUACGAUGCAAAUCGCAGCCUUGAAUACAUUAGCAUGGGAUAAUGGAAUAGGACUUUGGUUGCGCAGCGACGCAGCGCGAGCCGCGUCUUGUUUCGUGUCGGUUUCUGGAGCCAAAGUA